ensembl:lncRNA
CAUGUAUUCAAUUUUCGCGAGCUCUCUCUCUCUCCACCUAUCUCCCGCUCCCUCCUCUCUCUCUCUCCCUCUCUCUCUCUCUCUCUCUCUCUCUCCGCUCUUUUGUUAAAAUUCAGUAUAUGCGCCUCGUCACCUAGCAACCGUCAACCGUCAACCUCCCUCUUUCGCGCGCGCGCGCCGGCCGCCUCUCUCUCCCGCGCUCUCUCUCCAUCACUUGCGACACGUGUUGAAUGCUAAACUUAGCGGUGUGGAAUAAUAUUAAUAACUGGUUGGCUCGAGGUCUCUUCCUCUCCUCUCUCUCUCUCUCAGCCCUCUUCCUCCCCAUACACACACACACUCGCGCGCACACACCUCCUCCUUUUGCUCGCGCAUAUCAUCAUGCAAUAUAAAUAUUUACUAGAGCCACUCAGUCCUCUGUUGCAUCCCCCCGCAGCCCCCUUCCGCGUCUCUCUCCCCUGCCUUCAUCCUGUGCUGCGAAUCAAUGGUGCCGUAUCGCCACACCGAGCAAAACGGAGAGGUGUGCGUCCGUCAGCCCGUCCGUCCGUGUCAAUAGACACGCGUGUAUCAUAAAGCAAAGACACGGGGAAAAUACUCACAGGCCGUGUGCGUGCGUGCGCGCCAGCGCGUGUCCUGGAGAGUGAGUUAGCGUUCCUCAUGCCGGGAAAAUGAUCAGUGGAUGGAGUAAGUAGCUUGAGCUGCAAUAGGGCUAUCAAUGGAGCAUCAACGUGGCUUAUAAUUGUUCAUUUAAAUGCUUUUAUUUUAUUUCUUAAAAAAAAAAGAGAUGAAUAAAUUAUUUUUUUCUGCUGUGUAAGCUAUCUUUUUUACAUCUGUGGUCCUGUAGAUGUGGUGACUCGUCAAUCGAUUAAUAAACCAAUAACUCAAUAGCCCGUGAUUAAUACUGACACUCUGUGAGUCUCAUUUAGUGAGCUCAGAUGAUAAAUGGUCAUUGUUUUCUUCAGAAGGUCACUCCUUACUGAAUCCCAGCGUGACACAGCGCUAUUGAUGAAAUACCAUUCAGCCAUUUAAAGCACAGUCGUUUCCAGCCCUGUUCCUGGAGGCCCCCCAACGCUACACAUUUUGGAUGUCUCCCUCAUCUAACAUAUCCAUUUAAAGUCAUGGAGUACUCUACUAAUGAGCUGACGAGUUUAAUCAGGUGUGUUUGAUUUGGGAGACAUCCAAAGUGAGUACUGUUGGGGGCCCUCCAGGAACAGGGUUGGAAUCCUGUGUUUUAAAGCCUAAACUACUGAUCCAUUUCCUCAUCUCCUCCCAAAAUCAUGUCUGUGCAGGAGUAUGUAUUGAAUAUAACAGUCAAAACACUUAGUCAUUCAAUGCAAGUUCAUUCAUAUCCAUUUCAUACUUAUUACUUUUUAUUAUUAGGUCCUUAAUAGAACAGAGGCCAGUGUUAUAGCAUAAAUGAGAACUAGGCUGCAACUUAAUACGCUACAAAACAUUUGAGUUUUGCAACAGUAAACUUACUUGCAACCUAACCCUAUCUAAAUAAUUACAGAAGCACAUAUAUGCCAAAACUUGCACUAGAACAAAUAAUAGAUUAAUGAGACCAAAGACUGCCUGUUAGAUUUACCCAAAAUGAAGAGCCAGCAGCAAAUUCCAGAAGAUCUGGCCGAGGUAAGGCUGCUCUUGGUGGGUUCAUGAGCGCUGAAUGGCCGCUGACGCCCUGGAGCUCACAUCUCCAAAAACAUCUUAGCAAAUUUUCAAAUAGACAUUAUCUUUAUUAACAAACCGUAUAUUUGAAGGCCCAAA